GUAUUAUAUCAAUGAAGAGGAGGUUAGCACUCGCCUUGACAAGGAAGGGGUCUUUGUUGCCUUACAAUAAACAGAUGAUUAAGACAUGCCAUCUACUUAAUGGCAUAUGAAUUCUUGUUGUGU